GUAAUUGAAAUCAGUGCAGAAUCGAGUCAAGCCAAAUUCAAACUUUAAUUCUAGUAUGAAAUAAAUUAGUAUGUGGUAGAGCAUCCUUACCCGUCUGGAAUAAUAAAAUGUUUAAUUUAUAUUAUUACAUGUGUUCAGUGUUUUUAAUUUUACUAUAAAUAAUAUCAGCUUAAUAUGUGCAAUAAAUACACAAACAGGUUUCCAUAGUUGGUAUUGAACAACUUUUAAUAUUUGAGUAUUUCCCUUAUGGCCAGCUAUAGUUUAGGUUGGUUACGGAUUGUUUUUCAUGGUUCAUCGGUUCUUUUCUUAAUUAUUGGUCACAUGACAGUUCUUCGUCAGUGUAAGACUCAGUUUGAAUUUAGAAAUUUAAUUGGGCAGUUGUGUCAUACUUUAGUUGAAAACUUUGGACAUUUGGACUUACAGACUACAAUCUACUAAUCAGGUCAGUUACUAAUUAUGUUAAGGAUUUUAUGCAUAGAGUGAGUGAGAGUAAGAGUAGUAUGAUUAUUUUAUUUCUAUUUAUUUCAUAAUGAGUGUAUUGCUUCAGAAAUCUGAGUAAUAUAUAUGUUUGUAUUAAUUGAUAGAUAUACACCAGAUCUACACAUUACUAUAGAUCCAUCCGGAUUCUAAUACCACAUAUUUGAAUCUUUUGGAUGAUAUUUAUUGGAUAACAUUUGGAUGAUCUGUGAAUGAUGUUAUUCUGAGCGAUUGUGAUAAAUAAACCUUGUGACCGGUA